rnacentral:rRNA from 1 species
UACGGAGGGAGCUAGCGUUGUUCGGAAUUACUGGGCGUAAAGCGCACGUAGGCGGCUUUGUAAGUUAGAGGUGAAAGCCCGGAGCUCAACUCCGGAAUUGCCUUUAAGACCGCAUCGCUUGAAUCCAGGAGAGGUGAGUGGAAUUCCGAGUGUAGAGGUGAAAUUCGUAGAUAUUCGGAAGAACACCAGUGGCGAAGGCGGCUCACUGGACUGGUAUUGACGCUGAGGUGCGAAAGCGUGGGGAGCAAACAGG